rnacentral:rRNA from 1 species
CAAGACUGCGAAGUGGAGCAAANCCCUAAAAGCCAUCUCAGUUCGGAUUGCAGGCUGCAACUCGCCUGCAUGAAGCUGGAAUUGCUAGUAAUCGCGGAUCAGCAAGCCGCGGUGAAUACGUUCCCGGGCCUUGUACACACCGCCCGUCACACCAUGAGAGUCGGGAACACCCGAAGUCCGUAGUCUAACCGCAAAGGGGGCGCGGCCGAAGGUGGGUCCGGUAAUUGGGGUGAAGUCGUAACAAGGUAAC